rnacentral:rRNA from 1 species
UACGUAGGGUGCAAGCGUUGUCCGGAAUUAUUGGGCGUAAAGAGCUCGUAGGCGGUUUGUCGCGUCUGCUGUGAAAACUCGGGGCUUAACCCCGGGCCUGCAGUGGGUACGGGCAGACUAGAGUGCGGUAGGGGAGACUGGAAUUCCGGGUGUAGCGGUGGAAUGCGUAGAGAUCCGGAAGAACACCGGUGGCGAAGGCGGUCUGCUGGGCAGUUGCUGGACACUGAUGCGCGACAGCGUGGGGAGCAAACAGG